rnacentral:ncRNA from 1 species
UCAAGAAAAAGCCAACCCAACCUUGAGGGUGGGGCGGAAAGCCAUAGGGUUCAUGAACAGCCGGCUGCCUUG